GAAGCUAUGAAACAGCACUAGCCUUUUAAGCUAGAGAAAGAGGGGUCAUUCCCCCUCCUUAAUGG
rnacentral:tRNA from 1 species